UACGUAGGGUGCAAGCGUUGUCCGGAAUUAUUGGGCGUAAAGAGCUUGUAGGCGGUUUGUCGCGUCUGCUGUGAAAUUUCGGGGCUCAACCCCGAACUUGCAGUGGGUACGGGCAGACUAGAGUGUGGUAGGGGAGACUGGAAUUCCUGGUGUAGCGGUGAAAUGCGCAGAUAUCAGGAGGAACACCGAUGGCGAAGGCAGGUCUCGUGGGCCACUACUGACGCUGAGAAGCGAAAGCAUGGGGAGCGAACAGG
rnacentral:rRNA from 1 species